rnacentral:rRNA from 1 species
AUUGAACGCUGGCGGCAGGCCUAACACAUGCAAGUCGAGCGAGCGGCGGACGGGUGAGUAAUGUAUGGGGACUGCCCGAUAGAGGGGGAUAACUACUGGAAACGGUGGCUAAUACCGCAUACUAUCGGAUAACCCAUAGGGGAUUAGCUAGUAGGUGGGGUAAAGGAGCACCUGGGCGACGAUCUCUAGCUGGUCUGAGAGGAUGAUCAGCCAAACUGCGACUGAGACACGGCCCAGACUGCGACGGAGGCAGCAGUGGGGAAUAUUGCACAAUGGGCGCAAGCCUGAUGCAGCCAAGCGGCGUGAAUGAAGAAGGCCUUAGGGUUGUAAAGUACUUUCAGCGGUGAGGCGUUACCCGCCGAAGAAGCACCGGCUAACUCCGUGCCAGCAGCCGCGGUAAUUC